rnacentral:rRNA from 1 species
UGUCUUGUAAUUGGAAUGAUGGUGACUUAAACCCUCACCAGAGUACCAAUUGGAGGGCAAGUCUGGUGCCAGCAGCCGCGGUAAUUCCAGCUCCAAUAGCGUAUAUUAAACUUGUUGCAGUUAAAAAGCUCGUAGUUGAAUUUCAGCGUUUCGCGUGUGCCUCUUUUGGCCCAUCUCGUCUCGCUUUUUUUAUUACUUUGAGAAAAUUAGAGUGUUUCAAGCAGGCUUUUGUCUUGAAUACUUGAGCAUGGAAUAAUAGAGUAGGACCUUGGUUCUAUUUUGUUGGUUUUGUUACCUUGGUAAUGGUUAAUAGGAACGGUUGGGGGCAUUCGUAUUUAACUGUCAGAGGUGAAAUUCUUAGAUUUGUUAAAGACGAACUACUGCGAAAGCAUUUGCCAAGGACGUUUCCAUUAAUCAAGAACGAAAGUUAGGGGAUCGAAGACGAUCAGAUACCGUCGUAGUCCUAACCAUAA